AACGAACGCUGGCGGCAUGCCUAACACAUGCAAGUCGAACGAGAUCUUCGGGUCUAGUGGCGCACGGGUGCGUAACGCGUGGGAAUCUGCCCUUUGGUUCGGAAUAACAGUUGGAAACGACUGCUAAUACCGGAUGAUGACGAAAGUCCAAAGAUCUAUCGCCAGAGGAUGAGCCCGCGUAGGAUUAGCUAGUUGGUGUGGUAAAGGCGCACCAAGGCGACGAUCCUUAGCUGGCCUGAGAGGAUGAUCAGCCACACUGGGACUGAGACACGGCCCAGACUCCUACGGGAGGUAGCAGUGGGGAAUAUUGGACAAUGGGCGAAAGCCUGAUCCAGCAAUGCCGCGUGAGUGAUGAAGGCCUUAGGGUUGUAAAGCUCUUUUACCCGGGAUGAUAAUGACAGUACCGGGAGAAUAAGCUCCGGCUAACUCCGUGCCAGCAGCCGCCGCCG
rnacentral:rRNA from 1 species